CAGCAGUGGGGGAAUAUUGCACAAUGGGCGCAAGCCUGAUGCAGCCAUGCCGCGUGUAUGAAGAAGGCCUUCGGGUUGUAAAGUACUUUCAGCAGUGAGGAAGGUGGGUAUGUUAAUAGCAUAUUCAUUUGACGUUAGCUGCAGAAGAAAGCACCGGCUAACUCCGUGCCAGCAGCCGCGGUAAUACGGAGGUGCGAGCGUUAAUCGGAAUUACUGGGCGUAAAGCGCAUGCAGGUGGUUUGUUAAGUCAGAUGUGAAAGCCCGGGGCGUCAACCUCGGAAUUGCAUUGUAAACUGGCAAACUAGAGUACUGUAGAGGGGGUAGGAAUUUCAGGUGUAGCGGUGAAAUGCGUAGAGAUCUGAAGGAAUACCGGUGGCGAAGGCGGCCCCCUGGACAGAUACUGACACUCAGAUGCGAAAGCGUGGGGAGCAAACAGGAUUAGAUACCCUGGUAG
rnacentral:rRNA from 1 species